CUGCUACCAGCCCCGCGACAUUGUCACGGCCGCCGGGCCGGCCUGCGACGCAGAGAAGAGGCGGCGCUGCAGCGAGAGCCGGGGCCGCGCUCGGCUCCCGCCCGCCCGCCAGCUGAUCCCGGGAGCGCCGGGCGGAGACUGACCCGCCGCCCCUCCCCCGCGCGCGCUCCCGCCCGGCUCCAUCCACCCAACCAGGAAGUGAACCGCCGCCGGAAGUGCCCCUCGGGGCGGCGCGGCGAGGGACCGGGGCCUCUCCUGCAACCGCCGUUCUGUCGCCACGGAUGGGAAGGAGUCGACCGCGAGAAGAGGACUGGGGGAAGAGGGUCUCAGUGCAGACAGAGUUCUGGAAAAGACUGUUGAUAUCACCCGAGCCGCAGGGCAAGCUGGGAAAGGUAGCUCGGCACAGUCCGGCUGCUGGACUACAAAUCCCAGCAUACUCCUGGAGGAGAGGGCGAGGCGGCAGCCGUGUGGCCUCCACGGCCUCGAAGGAGAUUUGUGGGGUGGCGCGUAUGUGGGGACUCGGCAAUUUAAACACAUCCCGUGAAGAAACUGCCAACAACUAAGUUCCCCCCCCCCCCCCCCCGCUGUAUGUUCCACCCUUCUGGAGCCAUCUUAUUUGCGGCCUGGCCUCCUGGCACAAGGGAUUCUGGAGGUUGUGGUUUCCGAACGGAUCGAGACUGACACCUGAAGGACGCGGCUUAACCGCUUAGCCCCUAGCGGGUCCUGUGGGUUUCCCGACGUCUCCUGGGCUGAAAUGGAAGCGAGAAGUGAUCGGGAACAUUGUGCUGGCAGUUGGAUCCGGCUGCACCGAGCGCCAGCCUUGAAAUAAGUAAAACCGAUGCCCUUCCGCCCCUAACCUCAAAAGCUGCUUUUGCGUCUCGAUGUUAUUGAGAGCCGGCUCUGCGGUCAGCUCUGAGCUAGGCGCUGUGAGAACGCUCAGUAAGACAGUGUCUCGUCUGGAAAUGUACAGGCGAGAUUCAAACCGAGAAACUGCCAAAGGUUGUGUGCAGGGCAGAUCCUAGGAUACCGGAGACCCAGCCCGUUGGCUUGACCUCAAAACUCGGGGGCUUUUCGGCCCAUGCUGUCCCUUAAUUCCUCCUCCUUUGCUGACGCUGUGGGUGCGCAUCAAAGCCUAAACUUCACUAGCUCCCUUGCACACAAGAACACUAACCCUAACCUGACCAGUUAUUUAUUUUUCACUUCAAGAUUCUUCCAUUGAUACUUACGUUUCCCUGAUACCGUCCAAGUGCUGAGGGCGGGGAUGGACUGUGUGAUUUGCAUCUGCCAAAUGCAGAAAAUUUGGAAGUUCACAGCCUCUUAGUUGGAUGCCCCUGUGUCACAGAACACAUUUUGGCUAUGGGGUGUGAUCUGUGUCUGAGGAACAACAAGAAGCUACACGUCAUCCACACAGGAGCCAAAUCUGGAACUCUGGUCUCAGUUCUUCAGGACUAUUUGAGCGAAUAAUCACUCAACACUGGAGUAAAGGAUGUUCUACUAGAAGUCUUAUUCUGACUCCUAAAACCACGCUACCGAAAGUGUUGAUCCACAAACCAGUGCCAGUGCUUGAACUUUGUUACUGGUCCACAGUUAGGUAA
rnacentral:lncRNA from 1 species